rnacentral:rRNA from 1 species
AGUGAACGCUGGCGGUAGGCCUAACACAUGCAAGUCGAACGGCAGCACAGGAGAGCUUGCUCUCUGGGUGGCGAGUGGCGGACGGGUGAGGAAUACAUCGGAAUCUACUCUGUCGUGGGGGAUAACGUAGGGAAACUUACGCUAAUACCGCAUACGACCUACGGGUGAAAGCAGGGGACCUUCGGGCCUUGCGCGAUUGAAUGAGCCGAUGUCGGAUUAGCUAGUUGGCGGGGUAAAGGCACACCAAGGCGACGAUCCGUAGCCGGUCGGAGAGGAUGAUCAGCCACACUGGAACUGAGACACGGUCCAGACUCCUACGGGAGGCAGCAGUGGGGAAUAUUGGACAAUGGGCGCAAGCCUGAUCCAGCCAUACCGCGUGGGUGAAGAAGGCCUUCGGGUUGUAAAGCCCUUUUGUUGGGAAAGAAAUCCAGCUGGCUAAUACCCGGUUGGGAUGACGGUACCCAAAGAAUAAGCACCGGCUAACUUCGUGCCAGCCGCCGCAGUAA